rnacentral:rRNA from 1 species
AACGAACGCUGGCGGCAUGCCUAAUACGUGCAAGUCGAACGAGAUCUUCGGAUCUAGUGGCGCACGGGUGCGUAACGCGUGGGAAUCUGCCCUUGGGUUCGGAAUAACGUCGGGAAACUGACGCUAAUACCGGAUGAUGACGUAAGUCCAAAGAUUUAUCGCCCAGGGAUGAGCCCGCGUAGGAUUAGCUAGUUGGUGAGGUAAAGGCUCACCAAGGCGACGAUCCUUAGCUGGUCUGAGAGGAUGAUCAGCCACACUGGGACUGAGACACGGCCCAGACUCCUACGGGAGGCAGCAGUAGGGAAUAUUGGACAAUGGGGGCAACCCUGAUCCAGCAAUGCCGCGUGAGUGAUGAAGGCCUUAGGGUUGUAAAGCUCUUUUACCCGAGAUGAUAAUGACAGUAUCGGGAGAAUAAGCUCCGGCUAACUCCGUGCCAGCCGCCGCCGUAAAAC